rnacentral:rRNA from 1 species
UUUUCUGCCACCGAAUACAUUAGCAUGGGAUAAUGGAAUAGGACCCUGUCCUCCUAUUUUCAGUUGGUUUUGGCAGCGCGAGGACUAGGGUAAUGAUUAAUAGGGAUAGUUGGGGGCAUUAAUAUUUAAUUGUCAGAGGUGAAAUUCUUGGAUUUAUGAAAGAUUAACUUCUGCGAAAGCAUCUGCCAAGGAUGUUUUCAUUAAUCAAGAACGAAAGUUAGGGGAUCGAAGACGAUCAGAUACCGUCGUAGUCUUAACCAUAAACGAUGCCGACCAGCGAUUAGGAGACGUUGAAUACAAAACACCACCAUCGGUUGCGCGGUCGUCCUUGGCGUCUCGGUUUCGGCCGGGGCGCGGGGAUGGCUUAGCCCGGUGGCACCGGUGAAUGACUCCCCUAGCAGCUUGUGAGAA